AACGAACGCUGGCGGCAGGCCUAACACAUGCAAGUCGAGCGCCCCGCAAGGGGAGCGGCGGACGGGUGAGUAACGCGUGGGAACGUACCCUUUGCUACGGAAUAGCCUCGGGAAACUGGGAGUAAUACCGUAUGUGCCCUUCGGGGGAAAGAUUUAUCGGCAAAGGAUCGGCCCGCGUUGGAUUAGGUAGUUGGUGGGGUAAUGGCCUACCAAGCCGACGAUCCAUAGCUGGUUUGAGAGGAUGAUCAGCCACACUGGGACUGAGACACGGCCCAGACUCCUACGGGAGGCAGCAGUGGGGAAUCUUAGACAAUGGGGGCAACCCUGAUCUAGCCAUGCCGCGUGAGUGAUGAAGGCCCUAGGGUUGUAAAGCUCUUUCAGCUGGGAAGAUAAUGACGGUACCAGCAGAAGAAGCCCCGGCUAACUCCGUG
rnacentral:rRNA from 1 species